rnacentral:lncRNA from 1 species
GUAUUUAAUUUCCAAGAGAAUUCUUGAUGUACAGUCACUAGUAUUUCAUUUGGGAUGCAGUCAGGAACAAUGUUGUUCAACAUCGUCAAACUGUAUGAGAGAAGGUGUAACCAGAUUCUCAUUUAGGUUUGUUUUGUAGUCCUGAAUUAUUUGAUGCAUCAUUGUAGUAUACAAAUUUAUGCAACAACAGGCCAAACCUCCAGCCUUUGUAAUACAAAAGACUUUAAUACUUACUGCAGAGUAAAUCUAUUUAUCUGAUCUAGUUGACUUUCUAAAUAAGGCACAAAUUAACCAUGUUAAGCCAUGUAGCUACUUAAGCAAUACUCACGAUUGCCUUUCGAGUUAUUAAUGGUACAGGUACAUAUUCGAAACACAUGUUAGGUUCCUUUUUCGGUAACGUAGGAAAUCAGCCGUAACUGGAGUGGAACAGUGGAUGGAUUAAUUACGCCUGUCAUUCGUUUCUUAAAAUGAUUAGUAAAUAAUUUCGUUGUUACCCUAGAAUGUCGGAAUAAAUCAUCGCCCACAUCUGGAAGAUCUUGACUCGCCAACUUACGACUGCUUGCAUCCCACGACAGUUGAUAUGGAAAAUCCCCUGCUGGAUUGGAGAAGGUACUGCCAGUCAGGUUCUCCCAAUUCUUAUUUACCGAAAAAUUCCGUUGCGAUUUCAAAUAAGGGAUAAUAUUCAUAGUGUGUUGUUUUAUGAUUAAGUAAUUGGUGCUAUCUUUGUGGACCAGACAAUCGCUUUCUCCAAAUAGGCGUCAGAUGCGAGGAACAUUCCGUCCGGUGAAAACAAAACUUGCUGGACUUGACUAGUAUGCUUUUCGAGAUACCUGGGUUCCAUUUCACUUUCCAACGGAGACCAGAGAACGAUCGAUCCGUUUCUUAAUCCGCUUUAAAUUGAUAGAAACGAGGUAAUCAUUAAAAUACGUAAAUUGACUAGCACACAAUUAAGUCAUUUAAAUAGAAGAGGAAUUCUAUAAUAACCAUGCGAUAAAAGGUAUUUCUGGAGCUUCUAUUCUAUCGUCCAUUCUGAUUCCUCUAGGACUCCAAACCAAACUGAAAGCAUCACAUUUCACCUCCAAACUAUAUAUAGGGCUGUCACUUUCUUUCGACCAAAUCUGCAUUAGUAUUUGAAUCUAAUUAGUAGAAGUAAGUUAAGACAUGUAUUGCAAACGUAACCUGGAUCCAUCCGUCCCAUGAACACGAAGCUAAAAUUUUCAAUAUCUCAUUCCAAGCCACACACCGUACUUCGCCGAUAAACUUAAUACGGUAAGUUGAAAUGUGAUAUAAUUAGACGUCGGUUAAAUAUUCUACUUUGAUUUACUCACAUUGUGGAUGAAGGUUUUGAGAACUUUAGUUGAUCUUACUAUCGAUUGCUUCUUCCCGAAAAUUAUUGACGUUAUUCCUUGUUGAUUGUUCUUCAUUGAUUCUUCGUUUAUGUGACGCAUUUCAAUCGUCCCAUUAUCAUAGCCACAAGCGAAUCGAUUAUACGACAUCCAGUCAAUACAACAGAAAUCAAAUUCUGAUGCUAUAUUGUGGGUAUUGGGAUUUUUUAGUGCAGUAUUCCAAAUCAACAAUUCUUUGCCGUUACCAACCACCUAAAUUUAAUUGUUGUUAUAAUUAGCAGAAUUUUAAAAAAUGUAUCCUAAUUUUUCUUUUGAUUAAACCUUCGUUCCGUUGUCGUACAAAGUAGCCAAUAUGUCCCGAUUGAAUCGAUUCCAAUACAGUUUCGGGUGAGUCGACGGAUGUUUCUUCUCAGACAAAAGUUCACCACUGGGAUAGCGCCAAACAAAGAUUUUGCCUAACCAGCAGCUAGCGGCUAAUUGGGUUCCGUCUAACUUUACGUAACCAAAAGUGUAAUAAAUACAGGAUUGAUUUUUGUAAUGCCAUUGACGUACUUACGUUCCACCCGAGAGAAUACAUUGAUUCUUUCUCA